UUAUUUCAACCUGCUAGCUAGCAGAUAGAUGAUGCUAAUCUUAGCUGUGGUAAUGUCAUUUCUACCUGCUAGCGAGCUAAAUCUGGUUAAAACAUUAGGUAACAAAGUAAGAUUAAUUACUGCAGAUUAAUCACUGUAUUUGAGUGAUUGUUAAUGGUUAGUGGUUAUCUUUCAAAUGAUGCCUGUGAGGCACUUGACGUUGAGACUGGUUGACUUCCAGGCUGCUUUGGAAUAAGGAUACCUCUGAGGCAGCCACCAGUUUUUGGAUAACUCUGAGGCAUCAUAGGUAGUGUUGACUGCCAGGCUGCCUAGUCGUUGGUAUACAGGUUAACUCACAGGCAUCCAGUUGGUUUUAGAUACCUGUAAGGCAUCUAGACGGACAUUAAGAGGGGCUGACUCCCAGGCUGCUUCCUAACACUGGUUAGCUCUCAGGCAGCCAAUUAGCUUUGGAUGCCUGUGAGGCACUUGAUGUUGAGACACUUGAUGUUGAGACUGGUUGACUGUAGACUGAUAUCCCUUAGUUAAAUUGUCCUCAUGCCUCCUCAUACAGAUAGGCCUAUUGAAUAAAUCUGCCAGAUUAUUUUUAACAUUGCAUAUGCCUAACAUUAUGUGAUAAUACUAAUCACACUCAUAUUGCCUUUCUCUUUCAGUUCAUGAAGAAAUGGCGCCCAGGAAGGUAGGACGGAAGCGGAAGGCCCUGCAGGUGUCAAAAGGUGGACCAUCUGCAAAGAUCGCAAUUUUCCACCAGUCACCACUGGUUGGUGGAGCC